UCCAUUGUCGUCCAGCCCGGUUAGGAUAUCUGGCUUUCACCCAGGCGACCCGGGUUCAAAUCCCGGCAAUUUAA
rfam:Triticum aestivum genome assembly, contig: Triticum_aestivum_CS42_TGACv1_scaffold_306708_4AS